UCGUGGAAACCCCAUGGCACAGGGUGUUG
rnacentral:piRNA from 1 species